GGACUACUAGGGUUUCUAAUCCCGUUCGCUCCCCUGGCUUUCGCGCCUCAGCGUCAGAAGAGGACCAGCACGUCGCUUUCGCCACCGGCGUUCCUUCCGAUAUCUACGCAUUUCACCGCUCCACCGGAAGUUCCACAUGCCCCUACCUCCCUCAAGACUACCAGUAUCAGGGGCACUUUUCCGGUUGAGCCGAAAGAUUUCACCCCUGACUUGGUAACCCGCCUACGCGCCCUUUAAGCCCAGUGAAUCCGAACAACGUUCGCACGGUUCGUCUUACCGCGGCUGCUGGCAC
rnacentral:rRNA from 2 species